rnacentral:tRNA from 3 species
UGGUAUGUAGUUUAAAUAAAACAAGUGAUUUCGACUCAUUAAAUUAUGGUAAACCAUAUAUACCAA